AUUGAACGCUGGCGGCAGGCUUAACACAUGCAAGUCGAGCGGAGAGAGGUAGCUUGCUACCGAUCUUAGCGGCGGACGGGUGAGUAAUGCUUAGGAAUCUGCCUAUUAGUGGGGGACAACAUUUCGAAAGGAAUGCUAAUACCGCAUACGCCCUACGGGAGAAAGCAGGGGAUCUUCGGACCUUGCGCUAAUAGAUGAGCCUAAGGCGGAUUGAGCUAGGUGGUGGGGUAAAGGCCUACCAAGGCGACGACCUGUAGCGGGUCUGAGAGGAUGGGCCACCGCACUGGGACUGAGACACGGCCCAGACUCCUACGGGAAGCAGGAUUGUGGAAUAUUGGACAACGGGCGCAAGCCUGAUCCAGCCAUACCGCGUGUGUGAAGAAGGCCUUAUAGUUGUAAAGCACUUUAAGCGAGGAGGAGGCUACUUUAGUUAAUACCUAGAGAUAGUGGACGUUACUCGCAGAAUAAGCACCGGCUAACUCUGUGCCAGCCGCCGCCGUAAUAC
rnacentral:rRNA from 1 species